UAUUUAAACAAAAACAGUUGGGAUUUCCCUCUAGCUCUAGCUCUAUCCGUGCGGCCCCCGGCCCCAAAGAAGGCCCCCGCUGCCGCCGCGCCGUUCUACGUCGCUGCCCAAAGAAGGCCCCGCUACGUCCCGAGCGGCCGCAGCGGCGGCGAUCGAAUCCACCCUUCGCCCCUUCGGAGAGAAGCCGAUUGAUCAACGAUUCAACAGAUCAAGUCCUCCUCUCCUCGGCUUCUCCGCUCUAAUCAAUCCUCCAUUCCUCCUCUCGAUCAGAGUCGAUCUUGUCGCUUGUCUCCGGCUCUAAGAAGGCAAGAACCUGCCGUCCCACCCGCGGAAGAGUGAAGACCUUCACCUUCAGUUCGUUCUGGUUCUGCCGUUUUAAUUCUGGACCUUGACGGCGGCCACCCCCGGGCUCCCGGUCGACCGGACCACAACCACAGGACCACUAAGCCGAUAACUGUCCAAAUUCAAGAAGACAAAUAUUGGCGAUACAGCACCGUUGUCUGCCCUCUGGAACAGUAAGAUUGUAGAAUUAGAACCACAGGUAUGAGCCCUUCAUUGGUUUCUCUUUCUUUUUAUGUGCUUAACUCUGCUUUCACUAAUUAUAUGCUCAUACUCAAAAUAAGCAGCUAGAGAAAAUUUCUAACACCUAGAAAAAAAAAAACUUCACGCAAGGGAAAAA